GAUGAACGCUAGCGGCAGGCCUAACACAUGCAAGUCGAGGGGUAACUAGAGUGAUAGCAAUAUUACUUUGGCUAGACCGGCGCACGGGUGCGUAACACGUAUGCAACCUACCUCAUACUGGGGAAUAACUUCGAGAAAUCGGCGCUAAUACCCCAUAACAUUGCGAAGAGGCAUCUCUUUGCAAUUAAAGCUCCGGCGGUAUAAGAUGGGCAUGCGUCCAAUUAGCUAGUUGGUGAGGUAACGGCUCACCAAGGCUACGAUUGGUAGGGGUUCUGAGAGGAUGAUCCCCCACACUGGUACUGAGGCACGGACCAGACUCCUACGGGAGGCAGCAGUGAGGAAUAUUGCGCAAUGGACGAAAGUCUGACGCAGCCAUGCCGCGUGCAGGAUGACGGCCCUAUGGGUUGUAAACUGCUUUUGUACGGGAAUAAACCCUUCUACGUGUAGGAGGCUGAAGGUACCAUAAGAAUAAGCACCGGCUAACUCCGUGCAGCCGCCGCCGUAACAC
rnacentral:rRNA from 1 species